rnacentral:rRNA from 1 species
AGCCAGCAGCCGCGGUAAUACGAAGGGUGCAAGCGUUGCUCGGAAUUAUUGGGCGUAAAGGGUAGGUAGGUGGUCUCGUUUGUCCGGGGUGAAAGCCUUGAGCUUAACUCAAGAAGUGCCUCGGAAACGGCGAGACUGGAGUACUGGAGAGGGUCGUGGAAUUCCCGGUGUAGCGGUGAAAUGCGUAGAGAUCGGGAGGAACACCAGCGGCGAAGGCGGCGACCUGGACAGUUACUGACACUCAACUACGAAAGCGUGGGGAGCAAACAGGAUUAGAUACCCUGGUAGUCCACGCUGUAAACGAUGGGUACUAGGUUUGGUGGGUCUUGACCCCCGCUGAACCGGCGCUAACGCAAUAAGUACCCCGCCUGGGAAGUACGGUCGCAAGACUAAAACUUAAAGGAAUUGGCGGGGGA